rnacentral:rRNA from 1 species
AUUGAACGCUGGCGGCAUGCCUUACACAUGCAAGUCGAACGGUAACAGGUCUUCGGAUGCUGACGAGUGGCGAACGGGUGAGUAAUACAUCGGAACGUGCCCGACCGUGGGGUAUAACGAGGCGAAAGCUUUGCUAAUACCGCAUACGAUCUACGGAUGAAAUCGGGGGAACUUCGGACCUCUUCCGGCCGUAGCGGCCGAUGGCAGACUAGGUAGUUGGUGGGAUAAAAGCGUACCAAGCCGACGAUCUGUAGCUGGCCUGAGAGGAUGAUCAGCCACACUGGGACUGAGACACGGCCCAGACUCCUACGGGAGGCAGCAGUGGGGAAUUUUGGACAAUGGGCGAAAGCCUGAUCCAGCCAUGCCGCGUGCAGGAUGAAGGCCUUCGGGUUGUAAACUGCUUUUGUACGGAAAGAAAAGCAUCUGUCUAAUAAAGAGGGGUCAUGACGGUACCGUAAGAAUAAGCACCGGCUAACUACGUG